ensembl:lncRNA
UGCUUCUGGCUUGCAAACGGUUUGCAAGUAUAAAUCAUCAUGACAGCACUGGGCUGAGAGGAUGACACAGCAAGCAGAAACCAGGGAGUGAAGGAUGUACUAACCCAUGGGGUUGACCAACACAGAAUCUGUGCGACUGUAGAAGUUGUUUUAUAGCCAAAAAUAUAUUGGCUGGGUGUUGUGAAAAGAGGUACCUUCUGAUUGUUUUAAGAUGUCUAGUACAAAUUCCUGACAUGACAGCUCUCAGCCUUGACUCUAUAGCUUGCUCUGUACUUGAAUGGUGCUGAAUGUUGGACCGGUGAAAGAAGUGAUGUAGGGUCUGCAUGGCUGGCAAGCCCUUCAUCAUGCAGCCAGGUUAAACAGCAGUGUUGAGUAAUCACAAGUGAAUAAGAAAGAUUUUAGAAUGGAGUUGACAUUUUUUGGCUAUGGCGCUGCUUUCUCAGCGUGAAGCUGAUCAUUGCUGACCUUUAUCUCAGUGUGUGCUAAGGGUGCUGCGCUGUGCUUAGGCAUGUGCUACGUAGUUGAAGCACAGGACAAAUGUGGGCAGAAGAUGCUGCAUGCUUGGCAAGGAAUAAACUUCUUGAUUGCAGUGCGGUUGUAUAAAGGCAGGAUGGCGAGCAUACCAAGAGGAAGUGUUACUGACCCUCAUCCUUGAGGAUAAAAGACAAAAUCUCGUGAAGGAUUGUAGGGUGGAAACAUGUUUGGCAGUGCAGUUUCUGAUAUCAGUUCCAGAAAUGAGAACCCAAUUAAGUGAACCCAGUAUAGGGGAUGGCAAAUCCUAUAUCCUUUGCCAGAAGAAGCGAUGCGGAUGAAGUGAGUACGCUGUAGGGAGAGCGGCUGCCCUUCCUUCCCUCGGUGCCUACAGCUGGCUCGUGUUGUCGCACUCGCAGCUGAUGCCCCUCGGCCGAUCAUGCAUUGCUGAUCACCAUUCAAGAGUCGCUGUCCAUCACGAAGAGCUCCUGAGAAACCCGGCUCUGCCCUCCGCUAAUCUCACCCAUCCGACCUGGCUGCCCCACGAUGGGACGGGGCGGCCCGCAAGACCCGGUGCUGCCCGGCUGCGCCUCGUCCUCGGAGGUGUCAGCUCUCCACGUUAUCAGUUUGAUAUUCUGAUAAGCCAAAUGGGCGAAGAAAGGAAAAUUCCCGGAUAUACCGCUGUGUUUGGAAAUAUAUUGACUGCCUGGGAUUUAUCUUUCUCUAAUUACACAAACCAGCCUAGACUCUUCUGUUGCACAGCUAGCCUGAAAAUCCCUGAAUUUUUGGGAAGUAGUUCAGUUGUUUCCCUUUGCUCCUACUUGCCUGUUAGUGAAGUUUACUGCUGGCAGUUAACAUUGCUUGCCUGCCAUUUGUCUGAUACCAAUGGUAAAGCUUAGACUGAAGGCAGUGCAGCUACACUCAAACUUCUGCUCCCUUCCAAGGUUGCUCAGUCUUCCACUGCUUCCUACAUGAGAAGCUUUUAUUUCUAUUUGUUAGGAGAGCCACAACCCAUUCUGGGGCCAGCCCUCUAGAAAAAUAGGGCUGUGAUGCACCUGAACCGUGGGGGUGGAGGGGUUCAUUUGAAAGCUUCACCUGGUGCCGUUUCCUUCUGACUGCCUUGUGACUGAUUGACCUCAACAUACAGCUGUGCAUUUUUGUAGCCUUUUAUAGACACCUUUGUAUUACCUAUGAUUGUUUUUGCUAUCAUGGAAAUGGAUCUCAAGGAACUUAAAUUGGUGGGAUUACUUAUUAAUUCUUGGAGUUGAAUACUUCUGUGCUCACUGAUGGCAGUGCCAGUAGUUGUUAUUCUGAAAAGCUGUGACUUAGCAGAGUCAGUGUUUCGUUCUGAAGUCUUUAAUAGUAAUAUUUCAUUAGGCUUUCCUAAGUCAACCAGAAAUGUUUUGUUUCUGUGCACCUUGGCUAUUAAGCAUCACUUUUUGUGGCACUGUCCUUGUGCUUCAGAUAGGGAGGAAUGGUUGUGUCCCCCCAUUGGGCUUGAGAGGAAUGGGGCCUGGAUUUACCGACAUCUCUUAAAUUACAGUGAGACUGAUCAGAGAAAUGCACCUCAAUGUACGCCCAGUGCCUGAGCAGAGCAUUUUGCAUUUUCUAAACGCUGCUUUGUUUUAGCACUCUAACUGCAUUCUUAACUGGGAAAUAUUCCCUGUAGUUCUGUAGCAGUGUCUGCAGGGCUGAGGGGGCUCAGUCCCUGUUAGAAGGAAAGACUCGUCGUCUUUUGAAAGGAGAACAUCAAAUGUCAUAAUUGAUAUCUUGGUGUUGAUGUGUUAAGUGCAAAAAUGACUUAGGUCAAUCAGUGUGGGCUCAGAACUGUAAUGCUCUCAAAACGUUCCUCCUUUUGCACAGAAAGGACUCGAAAUGCCAUUUCUAUCAGUCAGUGAA